rnacentral:rRNA from 1 species
AUACGGAGGGUGCGAGCGUUAAUCGGAAUUACUGGGCGUAAAGCGUACGUAGGCGGUUGGUUAGGUUAGAUGUGAAAGCCCCGGGCUUAACCUGGGAACUGCAUUUAAAACUGGCGAACUAGAGUUGAGUAGAGGGGAGUGGAAUUUCAGGUGUAGCGGUGAAAUGCGUAGAGAUCUGAAGGAACACCAGUGGCGAAGGCGACUCCCUGGACUCGAACUGACGCUGAGGUACGAAAGCGUGGGUAGCAAACGGGAUUAGAAACCCGGGUAGUCC